CCCGGGCGCUCCUUUCCCACACUGAUUAGGAUCAGCCAGGGCUUUGGAAGCGGCAGUUAAGGAUCAGGGUGCUGGGAGCUGGCUCCCCUUCCUGCCGCGCCCAGCCUGGCCGGCUGCUGGCCCGCGUGGGUGGGAGGUCCGCGCUGUGACCCGGCACGGGGCGGGCGCAGGGCAGCCUGGAAAUCCAGCGCCCAGAUCCUAAUUGAAGACGUGGAACGGGACUCAGGCGCCAUUUCUCCUCUGAAUGUGGCAACUCUGAUCGAUCCCGUGGGUUUACUUUUCCACCUACCGGCUCUUUCCCUGUGCGUUUGCUCUCCCGAAGCAUUUGGGCCCAUCCCUUCGAAGACUCUACUCAACGGGAAUACAGUGGGCAGGGCUGCCAUCUUGCCUGGGAAAGUCACCGAGGGAAACUACUCAAGAAGGAAGACCCACCAUGAAUGUUACCACCAUCCUAUGCUGGGAGCUUGGACUGAGACAAGCUGCUUUCACCUUCCACUUCUCCAAGGAAUCGGGGGACAGAAGGGCAGAGUGGGGUUGCCUUCACAGUCUACUUCCUUGAUCUGGAACAUUCUGCUCACAGCUACUGAAAUCCCCAUUGCAACCAUCUAAUAACAACCUGCUCUCUGGGCUGAAGAAAUGGUUCAGCGGUUAAGAGCACUGGCUGUUCUUCUUUAGAACCUGGGUUCAAUUCCCAGCAUCCACACGGCAGCUCAUACCUGUUUGUAACUCUAAGAUCUGAUACCCUCACACAGACAUACAUGCAGGCAAAAUACCAAUGCAAG
rnacentral:lncRNA from 1 species